AGCACACGCCGCCCGCCCUCCUCUCGCUCGCGCGGCUCCCGCCCCGCCGUGUGUGCGCGCGUGUGUGACACCGACAGACCGACACUGCGCCUUCUUUAUCACCCGUGCCCUGCUCUUCUCCCAGGCGCGUGAAACCAAACUCCAGCCAUGAAGGCACCUUCUCACAAUUUCGGAGGAAAAGUAAGGGCGGCGGCUAAGGCCGAAGUAGCUCCAAAUAGAAAUAAAAAUAAACCCCUUGAGGCAGCGCGAGCGCUGGAGCUGCUGCACGCGGUGGUGCCGCACGCGCGCUCCUCCCUGCCUGGCGGUGGCUUGGGCGACCACUCUCCAGGCGCGUGUGUCUCCCGGGGUUAAAAUGCCCAGGGCCCCUCCCGCAGGGCGAAUGAUGGGAAUCUGAGUCCGGACUCCCAAAAGUGAAGGUGGAGCGGUGGCCUGGGGACUCCAAAGGGUGAAGGGCUCCGUGAUUGGCAGUCCUUCCAGAAGGUGGCUGCCACCCCCGGUGGUGGAUAGGACACUGUUGGGAUUCAAAAUCCAGAGGUUAUCGUCCGCGCCUGUAGUCCUGAUCAAAAAACUUCAGAAGGGGAGAGGGCCAAGUCGGCUGGCUCAAAGAGAAGUGACUGGCGCCUGUCCGGAACUGGCUGCAGAAGGGCUGCCCCAGGUGGGUGAAGUCCCCUGGGCGCUGGGCAUCAAAGACAGCACGGUGUUUACCUCACGACUGAACACGCAGGGGAGAGCCAGAAUGGCAGCACCUGUCCUCUGUCGUGGCCAUCUGUGACUCCAGGAGGGGACUGACCCAAGGCUCUGCCAGGACACGCAACACCUACACAGCUACUGUUUCUGUGAUCUGAGAGGGCAUUUUCCUCUGGUGAAAAGCUCAUCGGUAUGGGAAGAAUAUGCUGGCUGGCUUGCUUACCCUAUUGUUCCUUACCUCUUCAGCAUGGAACUAUGGUGGGCUAAACAUAAAUAAAAAUGAAUC
rnacentral:lncRNA from 1 species